GAUGAACGCUGGCGGCGUGCCUAAUACAUGCAAGUCGAGCGAACGGACGAGAAGCUUGCUUCUCUGAUGUUAGCGGCGGACGGGUGAGUAACACGUGGAUAACCUACCUAUAAGACUGGGAUAACUUCGGGAAACCGGAGCUAAUACCGGAUAAUAUUUUGAACCGCAUGGUUCAAAAGUGAAAGACGGUCUUGCUGUCACUUAUAGAUGGAUCCGCGCUGCAUUAGCUAGUUGGUAAGGUAACGGCUUACCAAGGCAACGAUGCAUAGCCGACCUGAGAGGGUGAUCGGCCACACUGGAACUGAGACACGGUCCAGACUCCUACGGGAGACAGCAGUAGGGAAUCUUCCGCAAUGGGCGAAAGCCUGACGGAGCAACGCCGCGUGAGUGAUGAAGGUCUUCGGAUCGUAAAACCCUGUUAUUAGGGAAGAACAUAUGUGUAAGUAACUGUGCACAUCUUGACGGUACCUAAUCAGAAAGCCACGGCUAACUACGUG
rnacentral:rRNA from 1 species